rnacentral:rRNA from 1 species
UACGGGGGGAGCAAGCGUUGUUCGGAUUUACUGGGCGUAAAGGGCGCGUAGGCGGUCAGCACAAGUCAGUUGUGAAAUCUCCGGGCUUAACUCGGAAAGGUCAACUGAUACUGUGCGACUAGAGUGCGGAAGGGGCAACUGGAAUUCUCGGUGUAGCGGUGAAAUGCGUAGAUAUCGAGAGGAACACCUGCGGCGAAGGCGGGUUGCUGGGCCGACACUGACGCUGAUGCGCGAAAGCCAGGAGAGCAAACGGG